AUAAAGACAAUGAAGAGAAGAGUAAGUAUAAAAUGUAGUCACAGCGAAUUGAGGGUGGUGAAAGCUCAAUACGAAGUUUGUACUGAAGAACAUCUCGGAGUCUCUAACCGAAAUAAUUUUAGAGUAGGCUUAGACGGGAGGUCCCGUUACAGACCAUUAAGCAAAGCUUAGCUAAGUGGCCUUUUAGGCAAUUAGGGUGGUACCGCGAGAGUAAUAGUCUUUCGUCCCUUGU
rfam:[Clostridium] sordellii strain JGS6382 genome assembly, chromosome: 1